rnacentral:lncRNA from 1 species
AGGUUAUGAUGCUGUCACAAAAAAAAAAACAACAAAAAAAAACCAGCCAGCAUAUAGAAAUACAUUUAUAUUAUUCUUAGGCAUCUUUCCUGUGGGUUGCAAAAAUUUGGUUUUGUUUUCUCUACGUGCCUCGGCACUUCUCGUUCCAUCUGGAAGCGGAGAUCAAAGCGCUGCAGUCCCACAAGCAAGCGAGCAAGCAUUUGUCUCUUGAGCUGCACAAGGAAGCACUGGAAGGCUGACAAAGAAUCGUGCUGCUGCAGGGCAGGGGCCAGAGCGCCGCAGAGAUGCGUCGCUCCAGAUUGCUUCAAGGGGCACCGGAUCACGUUUUGGAGCACGAUGUUUAGGGAGAGUGUGGGUGUGUGUGAAAGAGCACAAGGCAGCAAUAUUUAA